rnacentral:piRNA from 1 species
UGGAAGCCAGAGGUGGGCUUAGCUAGG